rnacentral:rRNA from 1 species
GGUAUUGGUUUUCGGACCAGAGACCGGCGCACGGGUGCGUAACGCGUAUGCAAUCUACCUUUCACAGAGGGAUAGCCCAGAGAAAUUUGGAUUAAUACCUCAUAGCAUUGCAGAAUGGCAUCAUUCAGCAAUUAAAGUCACAACGGUGAAAGAUGAGCAUGCGUCCCAUUAGCUAGUUGGUAUGGUAACGGCAUACCAAGGCUACGAUGGGUAGGGGUCCUGAGAGGGAGAUCCCCCACACUGGUACUGAGACACGGACCAGACUCCUACGGGAGGCAGCAGUGAGGAAUAUUGGUCAAUGGGCGCAAGCCUGAACCAGCCAUGCCGCGUGCAGGAUGACGGUCCUAUGGAUUGUAAACUGCUUUUGUACGGGAAGAAACACCUCUACGUGUAGAGACUUGACGGUACCGUAAGAAUAAGGAUCGGCUAACUCCGUGCCAGCAGCCGCGGUAAUACGGAGGAUCCAAGCGUUAUCCGGAAUCAUUGGGUUUAAAGGGUCCGUAGGCGGUUUAGUAAGUCAGUGGUGAAAGCCCAUCGCUCAACGGUGGAACGGCCAUUGAUACUGCUAGACUUGAAUUAUUAGGAAGUAACUAGAAUAUGUAGUGUAGCGGUGAAAUGCUUAGAGAUUACAUGGAAUACCAAUUGCGAAGGCAGGUUACUACUAAUGGAUUGACGCUGAUGGACG